GUGUGUUUACAGCUGUAUUUAUUGUUUAAUCAGGGAAAGAUAAAGGACAACAAUUCUUUUGUUGUACCAGCCGGACACACUUAUGCCUACAAGCUCAAUGAGCUAAAAUUCAGGAAAGAGGAGACUGGAACUACAUUUGAGCUUUGCUCCUUUUCUCAUCAU